CAAAAAAAAAAAAGAGGAAAAAAAAUGACAAAGUCAUUCACUCUCGUCGCUCUCCUAUGCAUCUGCUUGCUUCUCCAUUCUCCAACUGGAUUGAAAGUAGCGGAGGCGAAGAUAUGUCAAAGGUACAGCCAAACGUGGUCGGGGAGGUGCACGCAGACGAGCCACUGCGACCGCCAAUGUAUCAACUGGGAAGACGCUCGCCAUGGAGCAUGCCAUCAGGACAAACGUGGCCGCGCUUGUUUCUGUUAUUUCAACUGCAAGAAUUAAUCCCCAGUUUGUGAUUCUCUCUUGCUGUUUUGCAUUGUCUUUGGUCUUACGUUUUGUUGUUUCGUCGAAAUAAUAUAUAAAUAUGUUAUGGACGAUGUGUUGUUGUAUUAUGAUCCAUAGGCGUCUCUUGGCGUCAUGACUGUUUUAAAAUUAAUGAUCAUCCAAUAAUUGUUUGACUUUUA